rnacentral:ncRNA from 2 species
AUCACUUGACACAUCAGCGAUUUGAAAUAUACUAACUCAGCUGGUGGAUUCAAGGGAAGCGCCGUGUAAUUCGGCCGCGGUCGCCGCCACUGUGACUCCGCCUUUUCUUGAAGAAAGGGAACCUUUUUGGCAUAUAAUGAAUGCCACUGCCCCGCACCAAUGUAAUAGGUGCGGGAUGGGAAGGCAGCCAAAGGGGCGGGGGAGCCAGGAGACCUAUCCCCAGUAACAAUCGAAC